rnacentral:rRNA from 1 species
CUACGGGUUGCUGCAGUGGGGAAUAUUGGACAAUGGGGGAAACCCUGAUCCAGCAAUGCCGUGUGUGUGAAGAAGGCCUUAGGGUUGUAAAGCACUUUCACCCGUGAAGAUGAUGACGGUAGCGGGAGAAGAAGCCCCGGCUAACUCCGUGCCAGCAGCCGCGGUAAUACGGAGGGGGCUAGCGUUGUUCGGAAUUACUGGGCGUAAAGCGCGCGUAGGCGGCGCAUCGAGUUAGGCGUGAAAGGCCUGGGCUUAACCUGGGAACUGCGCUUAAUACUGGUGUGCUUGAGUCCGGAAGGGGGUGGCGGAAUUCCCAGUGUAGAGGUGAAAUUCGUAGAUAUUGGGAAGAACACCGGUGGCGAAGGCGGCCACCUGGUCCGGAACUGACGCUGAGGUGCGAAAGCGUGGGGAGCAAACAGGAUUAGAUACCCUCUGUAGUC